rnacentral:rRNA from 1 species
AACGAACGCUGGCGGCGUGCCUAACACAUGCAAGUCGAACGGGGAUAGGGAGCUUGCUUCCUAUUCUAGUGGCGCACGGGUGAGUAACGCGUAGAUAAUCUGCCCGACGAUCCGGGAUAACAUCUCGAAAGGGGUGCUAAUACCGGAUAAGCCCACGGGGUCUUUGGAUCUUGCGGGAAAAGGGGGGGACCUUUGGGCCUUCUGUCGUCAGAUGAGUCUGCGUACCAUUAGCUAGUUGGUAGGGUAAAGGCCUACCAAGGCUACGAUGGUUAGCUGGUUUGAGAGAAUGAUCAGCCACACUGGAACUGAGACACGGUCCAGACUCCUACGGGAGGCAGCAGUGGGGAAUUUUGCGCAAUGGGCGAAAGCCUGACGCAGCAACGCCGCGUGAGUGAUGAAGGCUUUCGGGUCGUAAAGCUCUGUCGAGGGGAAAGAAGUGUAUUGUGGCUAAUAUCCGCGAUACUUGACGGUACCCCUAAAGGAAGCACCGGCUAACUCCGUGCCAGCAGCCGCCGUAA